rnacentral:rRNA from 1 species
AUGGCGGCGUCCGUGGACGCGGCUGCGGCCGUGGCCGCGCCAGCUCCCGCGCCGCCCGUCGCCGCGCCCGAGGAGGCCGGCGGGGGCGACGCGGAGCAGGCCAGGAUCCUCAUCGGGGCGCUCAACCUUCUGUCGCGCAACCUCCCGCUUCCACCCGCCGUCCUGCGCGCGGUCUCGUCCAUCUACCACGGCGGCGAAGACGCGGACCAGGAGGAGGAGGAGGAAGGGGCCGAGGGCCCGUCGCUGGUCGGGGAUGAAGGCGGAGAGGGGGAUCCCGCUGACGCCGUCGAUGCGGCCGAGGUGCGUGCCGGUGCUUCUCCACUAUGCGGCGCGUUUCGGUUGGAUGCUCUGGCGUCGUGUAGCUCGAUGGGGACUCUGGUGCCGGGGUUUGGUCUGGAAGCCACCUUGAUUCAAGAGCUUGAAGAUUCUAUAUAUAGAAACCAAAUGACGCACAUGUCGUCCUCAAAGUUGACUGCUCUAAAAGAAGAACGCUUCAAUACCUGCAUCCAGCAUCGGUUAUCUGAACUCGAAGGGUUACCAUCUACUAGGGGUGAAGAUUUGCAAAUGAAGUGUUUACUCGAAUUAUAUGGGCUCAAGUUACUAGACUUGCAGAAGAAAGUACGGUCUGAUGUCAAUGCUGAAUACUGGCUACACAAGAAAUGUGCGCAUCCUGAGAGGCAAUUGUUUGACUGGGGGAUGAUGAGGAUACGAUAUCCUUUUACCAUGUAUGGAAUAGGGGAUGGUUUUUCAAUGGAUACCGAUGAUAUCCAUCGCAAAAAGAGAUUCACCGAGAGGAUCUCAAAGCUUGAAGAGGAGGAAAAGAACCAGGCUGAGACCAGGAAGAGAAGAUUUUUUACAGAAAUUCUUAAUGCUGCUAGGGAAUAUCAAGUGCAAACAUCGGCUACUUACAAACGAAGAAAGCAACGUAAUGAUGGAGUUCAGGCAUGGCAUGUCCGGGCGCGCCAGCGUAUCAAUCGACUUGAAAAAAGUAGGUUACAAGUUUUGAAAGCAGGUGAUCAAGAAGCGUAUAUGCGGAUGGUUGAGGAGAGCAAGAAUGAACGGCUGACGAUGCUCCUUGAUAAGACAAAUGAGCUUCUAGAAGGAAUUGGGAAAGCUGUACAGCGACAAAAAGAUGCUGAGCAUGUUAGUCGUCCUGAAGGGUCUGAAGACUCAGAAUCUGAUGAAUCCCCUGAGGAGUCUCCUUCAGAUGAUGAUGCAGAUACACACGGUUCUGCAAAUACUAGUAAAUUUAAUGCUGCUGGCCGUAGGCUUGAUUCUACUGUCCAUUCCAUCGAAGAGAAGGUAACAGAACAACCGUCAGCCCUUGUAGGUGGGGAGUUGAGACCAUAUCAGUUAGAGGGUCUCCAAUGGAUGCUUUCUUUAUUCAACAACAAUUUGAAUGGCAUUCUGGCUGAUGAAAUGGGUUUGGGGAAAACAAUUCAGACCAUAGCUUUGAUCGCUUAUCUUUUGGAAAAGAAGGAGGUCACAGGACCUCACUUAAUAGUAGCUCCCAAAGCAGUACUACCAAACUGGUCUAAUGAGUUCAAAACAUGGGCUCCCAGUAUUGGUACAAUUCUGUAUGAUGGUCGUCCAGAUGAGAGGAAAUCUCUCAGGGAAACAAAUUUUGGAGGACAAUUUAAUGUUCUGCUCACACACUAUGAUUUGAUACUGAAAGAUAAGAAGUUCCUGAAGAAGGUUCACUGGCACUAUUUGAUAGUUGAUGAAGGACAUCGCUUGAAAAAUCAUGAAUGUGCUCUUGCUCGCACACUAGUUUCCGGAUAUUUGAUCCGCCGCAGACUACUUUUGACUGGCACUCCAAUCCAAAAUAGCCUACAGGAGCUGUGGUCAUUGCUCAACUUUAUUCUGCCAAAUAUUUUUAAUUCAUCUGGGAAUUUUGAGGAAUGGUUUAAUGCACCGUUUGCAUGUGAUGUUAGCAUUAAUGAUGAGGAAGAGCUAUUGAUCAUACAUCGUUUGCAUCAAGUUUUGCGUCCAUUUUUGCUCCGUAGGAAAAAAGAUGAAGUGGAAAAGUAUCUCCCUUCAAAAACACAAGUAAUACUGAAGUGUGACUUUUCAGCUUGGCAAAAAGCAUACUACGAGCAAGUCGCAAGCAAGGGAAAGGUUGCCCUAGGAUCUGGACUCAAACCAAAGGCUGUGGCAAACCUAUCGAUGCAGCUUAGGAAGUGCUGCAAUCAUCCUUACUUAUUUGUAGAGCAAUAUAACAUGUAUCAGCGCGAGGAGAUUGUUAGAGCAUCAGGGAAGUUUGAAUUGCUCGAUCGGCUACUUCCAAAACUGCAUAGGGCUGGUCACAGGGUUCUGCUUUUUUCUCAGAUGACAAGAUUGCUUAAUAUUUUGGAAGUAUAUUUGCAGAUGUACAAUUUCAAGUAUAUGAGGCUUGAUGGAUCAACGAAAACUGAAGAACGAGGGAAAUUAUUGGCAGAUUUUAAUAAGGACUCAGAAUACUUCAUUUUUCUUCUCAGCACACGAGCUGGAGGCCUUGGAUUGAACUUGCAGACUGCAGAUACAGUUAUUAUUUUUGAUAGUGAUUGGAAUCCUCAGAUGGAUCAGCAAGCUGAAGACCGUGCUCAUCGUAUAGGACAGAAAAAUGAAGUGCGUGUAUUUGUUCUUGUUAGUGUUGGAUCAAUUGAAGAAGAGAUCUUGGAUCGUGCAAAACAGAAGAUGGGUAUUGAUGCAAAAGUUAUCCAGGCUGGGUUGUUCAACAACACCUCCACAGCUCAGGAUAGGAAAGCGUUGCUGCAGGAGAUCUUGAAGAGAGGAACUAGUACACUUGGAACUGACAUCCCUAGUGAGCGUGAAAUAAAUCGUUUGGCUGCUCGAACUGAGGAGGAGUUCUGGUUAUUUGAGAAGAUGGAUGAAGAGAGGCGACGACGAGAAAACUAUAAAUCCAGGCUGAUGCAGGGACCUGAGGUCCCAGAAUGGGUUUUUGAUAUCAGUGAAACCUUAGCUGAGAAGCUCCUUGCGGAAGAAGCCAAAAAUCCUGUGAUAAACACAAAGAGGCGAAGAAAGGAGGUUGUCUAUUCGGACUCUUAUGUUGAUCAAUGGAUGAAAUCUGACGAGGUAUACGAAGACAUCCCAAAGAUGACUCCAAGAGCAAAACGGAGUGCUUAUUUAUCCGAUAUACAGGAGGUUGAUUUACAUGAUAGGGCAAAAAGGCUCAAAUAUUCUGAAAGCGCCGAUGGCGCAGGCAACUCAACCUGGACACCAGAGAAAGGAAGACCUGGAGUUUCUUCCUACAGCAAGGAUGAGAAUGAAGACGACAACGACGAAGAUGAAGUCACCGCCGGUGGUUUGCAGCAGGGUGGUAGCUUCACCUGGAAUACCCUCAGGAGGAAAAGGUCAAGCCACUCCACUAAUCCGUCGUCAGACCCUAAAGGGCGCUCGGCAUUUUAA